GACGAACGCUGGCGGCAUGCCUAACACAUGCAAGUCGAGCGAGCAGAUCCCUUCGGGGUGAAGCUAGCGGCGGACGGGUGAGUAACACGUGGGCAACCUGCCUCAUAGAGGGGAAUAGCCUCCCGAAAGGGAGAUUAAUACCGCAUAAUAUGUUUAGAUCGCAUGAUCUUAACAUCAAAGGAAUUUCUUCGGAAAUUUCACUUUGAGAUGGACCCGCGGCGCAUUAGCUAGUUGGUGAGGUAAAGGCCCACCAAGGCAACGAUGCGUAGCCGACCUGAGAGGGUGAUCGGCCACAUUGGAACUGAGACACGGUCCAGACUCCUACGGGUGCUG
rnacentral:rRNA from 1 species